UACAGAGGUCUCAAGCGUUGUUCGGAUUCAUUGGGCGUAAAGGGCGCGUAGGCGGCUUGUCAAGUCACUUGUGAAAUCUCUGGGCUUAACCCAGAACGGCCAAGUGAAACUGACAUGCUAGAGUGCAGAAGGGGCAAUCGGAAUUCUUGGUGUAGCGGUGAAAUGCGUAGAUAUCAAGAGGAACACCUGAGGUGAAGACGGGGUUGCUGGGCUGACACUGACGCUGAGGCGCGAAAAGCCCAGGGGGAGCAAACGGGGAUUAGAAAACCC
rnacentral:rRNA from 1 species